GCCCCCUGCUGGGGCUGAAAGGCACCACUUUAGCUUCCUUAUCAAGGGCUGACAUUCAGCAGUGUUCCUUGUUUUAUUGGCCUUGAUACAAAAAGAUAAAACAUUUUGCUACAACUUAAGGCAUCAAAGUAAUGUGUUCAGCUUAACCAAAAAAGAAGAGCAGCAGCCCCUGUGACCACAGCUGCCUGUGAGCAGCCAUGGGACUGUCCCUACUCAGGUGGACAAGGAGCGGAGUCCUGAAGCAAGCUCAGGAGUGAGCAGGGGUGACUCAGCAGGAAGAGGAAAGUGCUCUGAUGUUCUCAAUUCCGGAUUGACAGAUGGUGGGAAGGCCAGGGUUCCCAGUUCCAGCCUGACCCAUAUCCACGCCCUUCGGCAGACAGUGCUUCUGUGAACUUGUGGAGUUUGGAAGAAUGGACCUCACUCCCUCAGCUGUUCAUCUUUCAGCUCAUGCCUACCGUUAUGGAGAAGACAGACAGGAGCAGAGGGCUGCGAGGCCAUAGGAGCCUGCAAAGCACAUGGGUUGCUAUGUGCCCCACGAGGCACAGGGCCACCCGAUGAAAGAACAGGAACCAUGAUGUGCGCACCGAGGACUGCAAGGCUCCCCACGUCUCUGCUCUCUUGAAGGAGAUACACACUGCUCUCUGAGGACUUAAUACCUGGCCCCUGAGAAGAGACUUUCUGCAUCUGACCACUGAAACUGGAGGUCCUGCUGCAGCAGGAGUAAAGAUGAAAGCAUUCUUGCCCAACUUUCUUGAAGUUGCUGUUCAACAUUAACGAUGUAGGCUUUUCCUGAAAUACAGCUUAGACGCAGGCCCUGAGGAUCCUGUAUCCCUUCUCCUUGUGUGUAUUCUGGACAGUCCUUAAAAAAAAAUCAUUAGACCCAACACAACUUAAAUCUCAGAAAAGAUGUCAAUGUGUUUCAGCGCCUGGGCACACA
rnacentral:lncRNA from 1 species